AAGUCGUAACAAGGUUUCCGUAGGUGAACCUGCGGAAGGAUCAUUAUUGAAAUAGCACGACGGGAAGCUGUUGCUGGCCCUAGUGGCCGUGCACGCUUUCUGUCCUUCAUUUCUCCAUCUAUUUGUGCACCUCUUGCGUAGACCCCUCUGUUAGGACUGCUUUGCAAAAUUGAUUGUGGGCUUUCCUUGUUUCUACGUCGUCAUAUACACCAGUGUAACGAUUUGGAAUGAAUGGAAUUUUGAUGCAAUAUAUAAAGCACAACUUUCAGCAACGGAUCUCUUGGCUCUCGCAUCGAUGAAGAACGCAGCGAAAUGCGAUAAGUAAUGUGAAUUGCAGAAUUCAGUGAAUCAUCGAAUCUUUGAACGCAUCUUGCGCUCCUUGGUAUUCCUAGGAGCAUGCCUGUUUGAGUGUCAUAAAUAUCUCAACCGCACCCUAUGGUGGUGUGGCUUGGAUUUGGGGGUGGCAGGCUUAGUCUGCUCCCCUGAAAUACAUUGGCGGUGCCCGACGUGAUGUGAUAAAUUAUCCGCAUCUGUUUAUGAGCUGCCGUGUCGUGUUGGAGUUGAUAAACUUGACCUCAAAUCAGGUAGGACCACCCGCUGAACUUAAGCAUAUCAAUAAGCGGAGGAAAAGAAACUAACCAGGAUUCCCUUAGUAACUGCGAGUGAAGUGGGAAGAGCUCAAAUUUGUAAUCUGGUGGCCCUUGGCCAUCCGAGUUGUAAUCUAGAGAA
rnacentral:misc_RNA from 1 species